AUGUUCGACACCAUCGGGUGGUUUGGCAGAGAUCUGGCUACAUUGUCCCGUGUCACUGAUGUGCUGCUCCCACCUGUACCUGCCGACGUCUUCGAUUCCGAGCUGCGACGACCAGUUCGUGUCAUCAUUCCCGCAGACUGUUUCAGGACUGUAUUUGGAAGUAUGGAGGACCGCGCCUACGAAAUCCUCAACGCUUCAGUUGCCAAGGUAUUUGGAAAUGAUGCAGUGGUGAACAAUGGCAACAUUGGUGAUUUCGUCUCCAUCAACGUUCCGAGCAUCGGCAACUUCAUGACCGACUUGUCUAUGGUCGAAGCAUCAUCAUCUUGUGUGCCCUCUCUGUCUGUCAUCUCAUGUGACUUGUGUGUCCUUCAAAGGCCUGAAUAAAAAGCAAACCACACGGAGUGGGUGAACAUGGUGAAGCCCAACCUCGGGCCUGGCAUCCGAGAGCGAGUCCAGGAGGCCAUUGCGUCGAAGGAUGAAUCUGCCAUGGAUGAUCUUCACGCCAUCAAGACCGAAUUCAAGUCUGCACUUGCCACUCUCCUCAAUGAGUAUGGUAUCCUGGCGAUCCCUACGGUCCCUGGUGCGCCACCGAAGCUGGGCAUGGAUGCGGCACUGCUGGAGGACUUCCGGGCGAGGGCGUUCUCCUUGCUGUCAAUCGCCGGCAUGUCGGGGUUCUGCCAGGCCAGCAUCCCGCUGUGCACCCGUUGCGGUGUCCCGGUGUCAGUGUCGCUACUCGCCCGGCACGGUGCCGACUUCCUCGCUGUCGUUGCCCAGGAGCUCCAGGAGGCGCUCAAAGAUGAGGCCGCCGCAGCCCGUGGCUCGUCAGGUUAG
rnacentral:rRNA from 1 species